rnacentral:rRNA from 1 species
GGAUAACCUACCCUUAGGACUGGGAUAACCUUGGGAAACUGGGGAUAAUACUGGAUAGGCAAUUUUUCCUGUAAUGGUUUUUUGUUUAAAUGUUUUUUCGCCUAAGGAUGGGUCUGCGGCCGAUUAGGUAGUUGGUUAGGUAAUGGCUUACCAAGCCGUUGAUCGGUACGGGUUGUGAGAGCAAGAGCCCGGAGAUGGAACCUGAGACAAGGUUCCAGGCCCUACGGGGUGCAGCAGGCGCGAAACCUCCGCAAUGUGAGAAAUCGCGACGGGGGGAUCCCAAGUGCCAUUCUUAACGGGAUGGCUUUUCAUUAGUGUAAAGAGCUUUUGGAAUAAGAGCUGGGCAAGACCGGUGCCAGCCGCCGCGGUAACACCGGCAGCUCUAGUGGUAGCAAUUUUUAUUGGGCCUAAAGCGUCCGUAGCCGGUUUAAUAAGUCUCUGGUGAAAUCUUGCAGCUUAACUGUGGGAAUUGCUGGAGAUACUAUUAGACUUGAGACCGGGAGAGGUUAGAGGUACUCCCAGGGUAGAGGUGAAAUUCUGUAAUCCUGGGAGGACCGCCUGUUGCGAAGGCGUCUAACUGGAACGGUUCUGACGGUGAGGGACGAAAGUUAGGGGCGCGAACCGGAUUAGAUACCCGGGUAGUCCUAACUGUAAACGAUGCGGACUUGGUGUUGGGGGUGGCUUUGAGCUGCUCCAGUGCCGAAGGAAGCUGUUAAGUCCGCCGCCUGGGAAGUACGGUCGCAAGACUGAAA